UGCCCUGCAGCUCCUAUUCCUACCUCCUCGUGGUACUGGACGGGGGACCACCAACCUUAGGGAAGAUCGAGUAACCAAUCCCGGUGGGAACUCUAGUCGUAUGCUGACAGGGAAGG
rnacentral:ribozyme from 1 species